CAUAUUCGAAUAACGUACUACAAAUGAUAGUGGUGCAAAAAAUUCUUUCCUACCUUCUCUUGAUCAAUGUUGCUCUAUUGGUAUUGUUAAUUAAUGAUGGGAAAUCAAGUGCAAUUCGCUUUCCCUCAGUAACACUAAGAGAAAAUGGUGGUUUCGUAAGGUGAUUGAAAAUUACUUUCUUUUAAAAAGAAUACAUUCCAACAUAUAACAUAAGGACCAUAAAAGAUUCCAUUGUUGUUGGAAGUGUUUUUUCCGUGAAUUCAAGAAAUUCAAGUAUUGCUUCCAUAUACUUAUAAGAUAAAUAUGAAAUCUACAUUUUGUAGUAUUGGGUGCAAUCUCCCUCAACGGGUACUUAUAAUGUCUUCAACACUCUUUAGAUAGAGAGAAUAAGAAAAUACCCUUGUAGCACUAUAUACUAGGGACCAUAACUUACAUAUAUAGUGAUGAUCAGUUAGGAUUCACGUUAUUGAAAAAUGGACAAUAUUGAUAUACUCAUAUUUGAGUCCAUAUCAAACUAAAUAAUUAAUUUAUUAAUUUUCAAAAUAUAAUCUUAAUUAUUUUUUUGUCUUUAUUUGUUCACUUAAUAAUAAUAAUUAAUUUAAAAGUAUGACGACAUAAUAAUUAGUAGAAUGAAAGAAUUAAAUAAUAUUUAAAUAUAGUAUAUUCCAACACAUUUUACACGGAGGUAUCAUAGAAAAUCGGUUCAAUAAUAUACUUUACUAAUUUUCAUAAAAUUUAUCAUUUUGGAUGGUAUAAUUAUUGUCAAGAAACAAUCAUUAUUUAAUNAAUUUAAAAGUAUGACGACAUAAUAAUUAGUAGAAUGAAAGAAUUAAAUAAUAUUUAAAUAUAGUAUAUUCCAACACAUUUUACACGGAGGUAUCAUAGAAAAUCGGUUCAAUAAUAUACUUUACUAGUUUUCAUAAAAUUUAUCAUUUUGGAUGGUAUAAUUACUUUCAAGAAACAAUCAUUAUUUAAUGAUUUUAUUAAAACAAAAAAUAUGAAAUAUAUGUUUAUUUUCUAUCUUUAUUUUUAUAAAAUUCAUUUUUUUUUUGACUAAAAUGAAUAAAUGUUCAUAUGGAGACUACUUUUUAAAAGGUUGUGUUAGGUGAAACAAUAUUCUACUAGUUACUAGUAUAUGUAUAUAUACAUCCACUGUAUGUCUAACUUAAAUUAUAUUUCGAAGUUAGCAUCAUAUUCGAAUAACGUGCUACAAAUGAUAAUGGUGCAAAAAAUUCUUUCCUACCUUCUCUUGAUCAAUGUUGCUCUAUUGGUAUUGUUAAUUAAUGAUGGGAAAUCAAGUGCAACUCGCUUUCCCUCAGUAACACUAAGAGAAAAUGGUGGUUUCGUGCUACCUGAAAAAGUUGAUAAAUUUGGAAGACAAGGCUCGAGAGUCUUGGCUGAUAAUAUUUAUUACAACACAAAAGAAAUC
rnacentral:lncRNA from 1 species